UGGCGAACGGGUGAGUAACGCGUGAGGAACCUGCCUCAAAGAGGGGGACAACAGUUGGAAACGACUGCUAAUACCGCAUAAGCCCACGGCUCGGCAUCGAGCAGAGGGAAAAGGAGUGAUCCGCUUUGAGAUGGCCUCGCGUCCGAUUAGCUGGUUGGUGAGGUAACGGCCCACCAAGGCGACGAUCGGUAGCCGGACUGAGAGGUUGAACGGCCACAUUGGGACUGAGACACGGCCCAGACUCCUACGGGAGGCAGCAUG
rnacentral:rRNA from 1 species